AGCUAUUUCUUGCUUCCAGACUAUUUACACAUCUGGGUGGGAAGCAGAUUGCAAGUUAUUUGCACACGGAGUUGGACGUGGUGAGACAACGACCGUAGAGUGGACUGCAGCUGUGCAGAGUGGAUGCUUUCUCAUGGUUCCUGCUAUUCUUUCCAGAGGGCACUCACAGGAGUGAUCAGGAUACUUCACUCACAGAUCCUCUCCAGAGAGGUUAUGGGCAUGGACUGCAUCAGCACGUCCUCUGCUGCAGCAGCUGUGGCAUAUUGCUCAACACACAUGCAUUGUGUAGAUCCUGGCUCCAUCUUCUUGAAGACCUCCUGGUAGGCACUACAGGGUGAUCAGGUACCUUCAGAGGGACUACUUAUAUACUGCACCAUUUGUAACACAGCAUAUAGUACUUAAAAUUUCCUUCCAUUCUCUUAAAACAGUAGUCCAACACAAGAGGUGAAG